rnacentral:lncRNA from 1 species
GGGAGUACUUCUUGAUCAUUUCUACGAACGUAAACCCCCAAUUCGAAUUCCUUUUAUGUACAGAAAUAUCCUCUUGGAUAACUUACAUAAUCUCAAUUACUAAUCCUUUGUGUAUCUUGUCUUCCUAACCAUCCACUCAGUUUUUCUUUCAACCUCCCGUUGUGAAAAUCCAUCUAUGGUAAUAGACAGUAAAAACUCCAUACAGUUGAUCUUUUGAACCCGAUUCAAGCUAUCAUGACAAUUCACCAAUCUUGGGGUAAACAAUCUCUAUUGCUUAUGUUUACUUUUUUCACCAUUUGAUUCUUGUAAUCUUGGGGUAAACAAUCUCUAUUGCUUAUGUUUACUUUUUUCACCAUU